rnacentral:rRNA from 1 species
UACCCGCGCCCCUAGUGGUGGUCGAUAUUAUUGAGCCUAAAACGUCCGUAGCCGGUCUUCUAAAUCCUUGGGUAAAUCGGGCAGCUUAACUGUCCGAAGUCCGGGGAGACUGGGAGACUUGGGACCGGGAGAGGUCAGAGGUACUUCUGGGGUAGGGGGAAGAUCCUGUAAUCCUGGAAGGACCACCGGUGGCGAAGGCGUCUGACUAGAGCGGAUCCGACGGGGAGGGACGAAGCCCUGGGGCGCAAACGGG